AAAUGAAUAGACGGGGACCCGCACAAGCGGUGGAUGAUGUGGAUUAAUUCGAUGCAACGCGAAAAACCUUACCUACCCUUGACAUGCCAGGAAUCUUGGUGAGAGCCGAGAGUGCCUUCGGGAGCCUGGACACAGGUGCUGCAUGGCUGUCGUCAGCUCGUGUCGUGAGAUGUUGGGUUAAGUCCCGCAACGAGCGCAACCCUUGCCACUAAUUGCCAUCAUUGAGUUGGGCACUUUAGUGGGACUGCCGGUGACAAACCGGAGGAAGGUGGGGAUGACGUCAAGUCCUCAUGGCCCUUAUGGGUAGGGCUUCACACGUCAUACAAUGGUCGGUACAGAGGGUUGCCAAGCCGCGAGGUGGAGCCAAUCCCAAAAAGCCGAUCGUAGUCCGGAUCGUAGUCUGCAACUCGACUACGUGAAGUCGGAAUCGCUAGUAAUCGCGGAUCAGCAUGUCGCGGUGAAUACGUUCCCGGGUCUUGUACACACCGCCCGU
rnacentral:rRNA from 1 species